UACGAAGGGGGCUAGCGUUGUUCGGAAUUACUGGGCGUAAAGGGUGUGUAGGCGGUUUUGUAAGUCAGAAGUGAAAGCCCUGGGCUCAACCUAGGAAUUGCUUUUGAAACUACAAAGCUAGAGUUUGGUAGAGGUGAGUGGAAUACCCAGUGUAGAGGUAAAAUUCGUAGAUAUUGGGUGGAACACCAGUGGCGAAGGCGGCUCACUGGACCAAAACUGACGCUGAGGCACGAAAGCGUGGGGAGCAAACAGG
rnacentral:rRNA from 1 species